rnacentral:rRNA from 1 species
CCUACGGGAGGCAGCAGUGAGGAAUAUUGGUCAAUGGGCGAGAGCCUGAACCAGCCAAGUCGCGUGAGGGAAGACGGUUCUAUGGAUUGUAAACCUCUUUUGCCGGGGAGCAAAAAGCGGUACGUGUACCGCAUCGAGAGUACCCGGAGAAAAAGCAUCGGCUAACUCCGUGCCAGCAGCCGCGGUAAUACGGAGGAUGCGAGCGUUAUCCGGAUUUAUUGGGUUUAAAGGGUGCGCAGGCGGCGAGUUAAGUCAGCGGUAAAAUUUCGGGGCUCAACCCCGACGAGCCGUUGAAACUGGCUUGCUAGAGUGGGCGAGAGGUAUGCGGAAUGCGUGGUGUAGCGGUGAAAUGCAUAGAUAUCACGCAGAACUCCGAUUGCGAAGGCAGCUUACUAAGCCAUAACUGACACUGAAGCACGAAAGCGUGGGGAUCAAACAGGAUUAGAUACCCGGGUAGUC